UCUGUUCAGUGAGCAUGCCAAGGAUCGCAUAGGGGUUUAGCUUAGCGGGCACCACCGCCGCCGCCGCCGCCGGACUUAGCGGGGACCGCCGCUGGCUGCGUAAGGAUGCCAAAAAAAAGUAGCCUCGCCCGCCGCCUUCCGCCUCCCGCGUAGCCUCUCCCCGGAGAAGGAGCGCCGCCGUCGCCGUUGCCGCCCGAACAAGGAGCGCCGCCGUCGCCGCCCGAACAGGGAACACCGCCACCACCGCCGCGCCGACGCACCCCCUUCCCUUCGUCGACGCCGUUACCGGCACACCCGCUUCUCUUCGCCGAAGCCAUCGUCUCCCCGCGUUCCAGACGACGGCGUUGUCUGCGGAUCCCAAGGUGGAAGAGGUUGGGAUUGGUCGAGACGGCGUCGGUUGCUCUAGAGCGAGAGUGGCAGUUGUGGUCGUUUCCGAAGUUGGGCAGUAGGUGGAUUCUCUCUUUUGGAUAACCUCUUUUGUUACUUGAUGAAAGGUCUCUCUAACCUGAAGAAUGUGCCAUGGUACCGAGACACUAGUAAAACUUAGUCUUCUUAAAUUCCAUAUCAUCAGAACCUCACCCAAAGUCGUCAAGACGUAAAUAGAAAUAGUGAGUUGGGACGGAAUAAACAAGUGUAUUUUAAUGGUAUACGUAUUUGCCAGGUGUUAACCUUUCCGAUUGGCGAGUUUGGAUGGAAUACAAGUGUACUUCCCUUGUUUCAGUAAACAUCGACAAGUUGUACUUAAUCAUUCAGUGAUAAUGAAUAGAAAUAGAACACAGUGUUAACAACACUUUCGUCUUAUAUAUUUGAACAUCGAUAGAAUAUAAGUACAGAAAACUGAAGUUUAGAACAUAAUAGUCUUAACACAGUUAUAGUCUGACAUGUUCCUCACAAUGAGAUCACUAUUCUUCCCUACCCGUAGUCUUCUACGGUCCUUAUUUGUACUUCUUUACAAUACUUGUAUAUUUCCUCCCGCUUCAUGGAAAUUGGCUCGUUGUCUAAACGCUCGUCCACGAACCAUUCCGUAUACCAAUGUAGUCUCCAGCCCCAGUACCUGCCGUGAUCACGCUCUGCCGAGCCAAAGGGUUGACUAUCUAGACAAAAGUCCAGUCCGAUGUCUAGAUAAGAAGACUACCAAGAGACCAGAGUCUACCUCCCAGCUCCCCCACUUCGUUAAAACCUCUCCACAUCUCCUGUACACCCCUCACUAGCCUCGUCACGAUUUGAACUAAGAAACGUCUACGGUUUUCAAGUCAAAUGGGUUUACGGUUUUCUCAUCAAGGACGAAACAUUUAAACCGAACGCUUAUGAUCUACGUUUUAUGAUGAGGGAGACAGGGUAUUAUAUUCUUGCAAAAAAUAUGAUCAUAUCACAGUUUUUGCAAGAAUAUAAUACCCUGCCUCCCUCAUCUUAUGAAGGAUCAACCACUAACCUAAUAUACAAACCUCGUCAUGAUUUCACCAUGAAAUGUUUAUGAUCUUAUCAGAAAGGAUCAACACUUUGUUUUAAACCGAA
rnacentral:rRNA from 1 species